rnacentral:lncRNA from 1 species
GCUCAUUGGGAAAUGUGUAAUGAAAGUCAUAAUGCAGGAACAACAUUUUCAAGAGGAACUACAUUAAGCAAGUAUUUUCACAGCAGGUAGCUGUCCAAGGGAGAGAUUGCUGAAGCUUGGUGGCGGUGAUGGUUGUGCAUUGGCAGUGAAGGUCCAGAAGUUUCUCCAGUUCUUAAGAGAGAGGAAUCCCUGGCUCAAGAGAAUGGAGUCACUUGCCCAGGGUCAUCCAACUGAGCUGGU